AGUGAACGCUGGCGGUAGGCCUAACACAUGCAAGUCGAACGGCAGCACAGUAAGAGCUUGCUCUUACGGGUGGCGAGUGGCGGACGGGUGAGGAAUACAUCGGAAUCUACUUUUUCGUGGGGGAUAACGUAGGGAAACUUACGCUAAUACCGCAUACGACCUACGGGUGAAAGCAGGGGAUCUUCGGACCUUGCGCGAUUGAAUGAGCCGAUGUCGGAUUAGCUAGUUGGCGGGGGAAAGGCCCACCAAGGCGACGAUCCGUAGCUGGUCUGAGAGGAUGAUCGGCCACACUGAACCUGAGACACGGUCCAGACUCCUCCGGGAGGCAGCGGUGGGGAAUAUUGGACAAUGGGCGCAAGCCUGAUCAGCCAUACCGCGUGGGUGAAGAAGGCCUUCGGGUUGUAAAGCCCUUUUGUUGGGAAAGAAAAGCAGCAGGUUAAUACCCCGCUGUUCUGACGGUACCCAAAGAAUAAGCACCGGCUAACUUCGUG
rnacentral:rRNA from 1 species